rnacentral:rRNA from 1 species
AAACGGGUGGUAAUGCCGGAUGCUCCAGUUGAUCGCAUGGUCUUCUGGGAAAGCUUUCGCGGUAUGGGAUGGGGUCGCGUCCUAUCAGCUUGACGGCGGGGUAACGGCCCACCGUGGCUUCGACGGGUAGCCGGCCUGAGAGGGCGACCGGCCACAUUGGGACUGAGAUACGGCCCAGACUCCUACGGGAGGCAGCAGUGGGGAAUAUUGCACAAUGGGCGCAAGCCUGAUGCAGCGACGCCGCGUGAGGGAUGGAGGCCUUCGGGUUGUAAACCUCUUUUAUCGGGGAGCAAGCGAGAGUGAGUUUACCCGUUGAAUAAGCACCGGCUAACUACGUGCCAGCAGCCGCGGUAAUACGUAGGGUGCAAGCGUUAUCCGGAAUUAUUGGGCGUAAAGGGCUCGUAGGCGGUUCGUCGCGUCCGGUGUGAAAGUCCAUCGCUUAACGGUGGAUCCGCGCCGGGUACGGGCGGGCUUGAGUGCGGUAGGGGAGACUGGAAUUCCCGGUGUAACGGUGGAAUGUGUAGAUAUCGAA